GACGAACGCUGGCGGCGUGCUUAACACAUGCAAGUCGAACGGAAAGGCCUCUUUCGGGGGGUACUCGAGUGGCGAACGGGUGAGUAACACGUGAGUAACCUGCCCUUGACUUUGGGAUAACUUCAGGAAACUGGGGCUAAUACCGGAUAGGAGCUCCUGCUGCAUGGUGGGGGUUGGAAAGUUUCGGCGGUGGGGAUGGACUCGCGGCUUAUCAGCUUGUUGGUGGGGUAGUGGCUUACCAAGGCUUUGACGGGUAGCCGGCCUGAGAGGGUGACCGGCCACAUUGGGACUGAGAUACGGCCCAGACUCCUACGGGAGGCAGCAGUGGGGAAUAUUGCACAAUGGGUGGAAGCCGGAUGCAGCAACGCCGUGUGCGGGAUGACGGCCUUCGGGUUGUAAACCGCUUUCGCUCAUGACGAAGCUUUGUGUGACGGUAGUGGGUAAAGAAGCACCGGCUAACUACGCG
rnacentral:rRNA from 1 species